GAUGAACGCUGGCGGCGUGCCUAAUACAUGCAAGUCGAGCGAACAGAUGAGGAGCUUGCUCCUCUGACGUUAGCGGCGGACGGGUGAGUAACACGUGGAUAACCUACCUAUAAGACUGGGAUAACUUCGGGAAACCGGAGCUAAUACCGGAUAAUAUAUUGAACCGCAUGGUUCAAUAGUGAAAGACGGUUUUGCUGUCACUUAUAGAUGGAUCCGCGCCGCAUUAGCUAGUUGGUAAGGUAACGGCUUACCAAGGCAACCAUGCGUAGCCGACCUGAGAGGGUGAUCGGCCACACUGGAGCUGAGACACGGUCAAGACUCCUACGGGAGGCAGCAGUAGGGAAUCUUCCGCAAUGGGCGAAAGCCUGACGGAGCAACGCCGCGUGAGUGAUGAAGGUCUUCGGAUCGUAAAACUCUGUUAUUAGGGAAGAACAAAUGUGUAAGUAACUAUGCACGUCUUGACGGUACCUAAUCAGAAAGCCACGGCUAACUACGUG
rnacentral:rRNA from 1 species